rnacentral:rRNA from 1 species
UGGGGAAUAUUGCACAAUGGGCGCAAGCCUGAUGCAGCCAUGCCGCGUGUGUGAAGAAGGCCUUCGGGUUGUAAAGCACUUUCAGCGGGGAGGAAGGCGAUACGGUUAAUAACCUUGUCGAUUGACGUUACCCGCAGAAGAAGCACCGGCUAACUCCGUGCCAGCAGCCGCGGUAAUACGGAGGGUGCAAGCGUUAAUCGGAAUUACUGGGCGUAAAGCGCACGCAGGCGGUCUGUCAAGUCGGAUGUGAAAUCCCCGGGCUCAACCUGGGAACUGCAUUCGAAACUGGCAGGCUAGAGUCUUGUAGAGGGGGGUAGAAUGCCAGGUGUAGCGGUGAAAUGCGUAGAGAUCUGGAGGAAUACCGGUGGCGAAGGCGGCCCCCUGGACAAAGACUGACGCUGAGGUGCGAAAGCGUGGGGAGCAAACAGG